UGGUCUCAAGGCUGGCCUCCUUCGAAAAUGACUUCAGUGAUUUAGAAUCUCUCUUAACAUUCCUGAGCUCAGAAAUUUUACUUUUUCUUUAUCUAGAGCAGAAAAAGUUAUGCCAAGCUCUUUCUCCCUACAUUUAAAAGUUGGCUUUUGUCUACAAGAAAGCCCAUGCCACCAUCUCUUGGCUAGUGGGUGGCACUGCUAAGGGUUGGACCAGGACUCAACGCCAUCAAGCAGGGCCCUCAGCCCCACGCAGCAUUUCCACGACGACCUGGUGGUAAAGCUUGGUAGCCAUCACCAGACCAUAUACGCUACCAGUGGCUGCCACAGAAUAGCCCCAGGUUGUUAGGACCCUACUGGCCCAAAUAGAUGACAGGGGCCCCUUAGAAUGCUCCAUGCAGAACAUAAGCCAGUGCCUGGCAACAAGAAUAGACCAGCAGCGGGGGGGAGUUAGGGAGGGCCCAGGGAACAAAAUGACAAAACAGAGCUUUCCCACAUUUUCUACAUCGUGGCACACCAAUACAUCAUCGUCACCAGCGGAAGUGGGAGGCUCUUCAUAGAUUGAAAAGGGAAACUUCUUCCUGUGAGCAGUCCGUUCAUUUCUCUCCCAGACACAAGGCUGAAAUUUUAGUAUUACAGGAAUUUAAUCAGAUGCUCUCUCUCAGUUACUCAUGUUGGAAUUAGUGACCAGCUUAAACCCCAACGGCUUUUUCACAUUAACUGAUGUCAAGCCAGGGGGUCUUCUAGGAUGCCAGCCAAAUGGACAACGCCAGAGUGAAGACCCAGGAGAUGAAAUCGGAUCAAGUGGGAAGAGUAGCAUAAGGAAUCUAAAGUGGAACAAGGGUUGACAAUCCGUCCGCUUAAAAAUAAUAACCUCUGUAUAUUCCCUUGCAACUAGAUGUGGCCAUGUGAUUCAGUCCUGGUCAAUGAGAUAUAAAUGGUAUUUGCCAGCUAUGGCCUCCAGGAAAGCACUUUAAAGAUUCAGCUUUAUCUUGUCUGGAGCACAGACAUGCUGUAUGAGAUGUAGCAGCCAUCUUGUAUCCAUAAGAGCAUGCUAAAGAUGGCCGUGAACACCUCUUACAAAAACCACCCUGUCAAGAAAUAAAAAACUGCCAUUACUCCA
rnacentral:lncRNA from 1 species